rnacentral:tRNA from 1 species
UCCCUGGUGGUCCAGUGACUAAGCCUCUGCACUCCCAAUGCAGGAGGCCCGGGUUUGAUCCCCUGGUCAGGGAA